AGGGCUGGUAUUGCAGAGUUCAUGGCAACUUUCUUGUUCUUGUACAUCACUAUCUUGACUGUUAUGGGGCUUAAGAGAUCUGAUAGUUUAUGUUCUUCAGUGGGUAUUCAAGGGGUUGCUUGGGCUUUUGGUGGUAUGAUCUUUGCUUUGGUGUACUGUACUGCUGGUAUCUCAGGUUUGUUCCUUUUUUUAACCGCCUUUUUUAAAAGAUUCAGUCUUGACAUGUUUUAGAGGUUCAUAACAUGUUGCUGGUUUGUUUUGUGUGUCUUAAUUCAAUGUUUUAGAGGUUCAUAACAUGUUGCUGGUUUGUUUUGUGUGUCUUAUUUCCAUGUUUUAGAGGUUCAUAACAUGUUGCUGGUUUAUUUUCUGUGUCUUAGUUACAAGAAUGGAGUUUUCACCUUCCAUUCUUGUUGCUUGUUGGUCAUUUGCUUGCUCAAUCUUGUUACUAUACAUUUAUACUGUGAAAAUAUGACCUUUUUCUUAGCUGAUUCUCUUUAUUUUCCCUUCUUUUGCUCUGUGUUUUAGCUGAUUCUCUUUAUUUUCCCUUCUUUUGCGCUGUGUUUGAGUUUUUGUUUACUUAUUUUGUAUCCCAUGCUUUUUAUCUACUAAUUUUAUGGAUCCUUGAGUAUAGUCAACUUAAAGAUUCAACCUUUCCCUGUUUUAGAGGUUCAAAUGAUGUUAUUGGUUUGCUUUAUCAGUCUAAAUUACAAAUAAAAAUUGGAGUUUUGUUUUCCAUUCUUGUUGGUUCUUAGUCUUUUGCCUUGCUGAAGCUUGUUGAUUUACCCUUGGAAACAGCCUGCGUACAAUAGAUCCUUGUGGUCGGACCCCUUUACCGACACUUUUCUGGAUCCUGUGUGUGCACAGAGGUUUUGUAUACUAUAAAGUUAAACCCUUUGUGGCUUGUUCUAUUUCUUUCCUUUCUUUUGAUCUCCAUAAUUGAGCUUUUAGUUACUUGCUUUGUACAUCAUACUUAACUAAUAUUUUGGGAUCUUGAGUGUACUCACAUAAAGGUAAAGGUUCAGUCUUUCCUUGUUUUUGAAGUUCAAAACAUGUUUAUUGGCUUACUUUCUAUGUCAAAAUUUGCAAUCAAAUUGAGUCUCUUCCUUCUUGAAUUUGGUUUUUGCACAUAUGGGGUUUGCUUAUUUUUCUCCAAAAUUGAAUUCUGUGUGUUUUGAUAUCUAACAGGAGGACACAUCAACCCAGCUGUGACCUUUGGACUCUUCUUGGCAAGGAAAUUGUCCUUGACCAGGGCUAUUUUCUACAUGGUGAUGCAGUG
rnacentral:lncRNA from 1 species